rnacentral:tRNA from 1 species
GAUAAAGUGGCUGAAAUUUUUAGGUAAUAAAUUGUAAAUUUAUUUAUGGUGUUAUACCCUUUAUCA